rnacentral:rRNA from 1 species
CCUGGCUCAAUAUGAACGCUAGCUACAGGCUUAACACAUGCAAGUCGAGGUGCAGCAUGGUCUUAGCUUGCUAAGGCCGAUGGCGACCGGCGCACGGGUGAGUAACACGUAUCCAACCUGCCGUCUACUCUUGGACAGCCUUCUGAAAGGAAGAUUAAUACAAGAUGGCAUCAUGAGUCCGCAUGUUCACAUGAUUAAAGGUAUUCCGGUAGACGAUGGGGAUGCGUUCCAUUAGAUAGUAGGCGGGGUAACGGCCCACCUAGUCUUCGAUGGAUAGGGGUUCUGAGAGGAAGGUCCCCCACAUUGGAACUGAGACACGGUCCAAACUCCUACGGGAGGCAGCAGUGAGGAAUAUUGGUCAAUGGGCGAGAGCCUGAACCAGCCAAGUAGCGUGAAGGAUGACUGCCCUAUGGGUUGUAAACUUCUUUUAUAAAGGAAUAAAGUCGGGUAUGGAUACCCGUUUGCAUGUACUUUAUGAAUAAGGAUCGGCUAACUCCGUGCCAGCAGCCGCGGUAAUACGGAGGAUCCGAGCGUUAUCCGGAUUUAUUGGGUUUAAAGGGAGCGUAGAUGGAUGUUUAAGUCAGUUGUGAAAGUUUGCGGCUCAACCGUAAAAUUGCAGUUGAUACUGGAUAUCUUGAGUGCAGUUGAGGCAGGCGGAAUUCGUGGUGUAGCGGUGAAAUGCUUAGAUAUCACGAAGAACUCCGAUUGCGAAGGCAGCCUGCUAAGCUGCAACUGACAUUGAGGCUCGAAAGUGUGGGUAUCAAACAGGAUUAGAUACCCUGGUAGUCCACACGGUAAACGAUGAAUACUCGCUGUUUGCGAUAUACGGCAAGCGGCCAAGCGAAAGCGUUAAGUAUUCCACCUGGGGAGUACGCCGGCAACGGUGAAACUCAAAGGAAUUGACGGGGGCCCGCACAAGCGGAGGAACAUGUGGUUUAAUUCGAUGAUACGCGAGGAACCUUACCCGGGCUUAAAUUGCAGAUGAAUUACGGUGAAAGCCGUAAGCCGCAAGGCAUCUGUGAAGGUGCUGCAUGGUUGUCGUCAGCUCGUGCCGUGAGGUGUCGGCUUAAGUGUCAUAACGAGCGCAACCCUUGUUGUCAGUUACUAACAGGUUCCGCUGAGGACUCUGACAAGACUGCCAUCGUAAGAUGUGAGGAAGGUGGGGAUGACGUCAAAUCAGCACGGCCCUUACGUCCGGGGCUACACACGUGUUACAAUGGGGGGUACAGAGGGCCGCUACCACGCGAGUGGAUGCCAAUCCCCAAAACCUCUCUCAGUUCGGACUGGAGUCUGCAACCCGACUCCACGAAGCUGGAUUCGCUAGUAAUCGCGCAUCAGCCACGGCGCGGUGAAUACGUUCCCGGGCCUUGUACACACCGCCCG